AUGAGUUCUCGCGUAUUAGAGACAAGACGGCCAGUCAGCCAACUUGUUUUAAAGUGCAAAAUAAAUGGGUUUUUUUUUUGUUUGUUUGUUUUGUUUAGGUCGCCAGCUGGACGACUAGCGACGGGCUGGCUACCGCGAAUGCAAAGUGAGAAACGACUCCGGGGAAAUACAUUCUGUGUGGAUCCAGACAGCGGAGCGGACAGUCAUGUCUCCCUCUCCUCCUCCCAGAGAGCGCACAGACCAGGAAGUGGCUCCAGGUACGUCACUCCCGACCAACCAAAGCAGCAGACGCUGACUCCGCCCACCGCCCUCCGGCCCGCCCCCACCCCCGUUCUGUUGUCCGAGCCUCCACAGAGGAUGGCCGGGCUGGAGCUCGUUUUCCAGGGUAAUUGCUGAAGCAUGCAGCAAAUACUUUGUGCUUCAAAAAGAAACGAAUGUGAGGCUGUUUAGAGGUUUUUGGAUAGAUGAUACUGUAAAGACAGCGAAACAUGAACCACACUGUAAUGUUGUCAGAGCAAAAAGCUGUUACAUAGGCUAUAGAGUAUAGAGUUAAUACUAUGUAGUACAAAUGUGAUAUAUGCUCUUUAGACAGUGUAUAGAGCCUUUACUGUAAGCUGCUCUAUCAUUGAGACUACAACAACUAGGCCUAAAUAACACCUGCCAACGCAGAAACAAUACAAGGUGGUCACAGAUAUAUAUGGCAGAUAGUCAACUGUAGUAUUCAAACCAUUGCGACAAAUACAUAAAUGAUUUGACAGUUGUACAGUUGUAAUCUAAAAUGACACCAGUUCACCUCAAAUAGUAAACUUUAUGGGGAAUUUAAUCAUUUGAAUAGUCCCAAUCAUUACUGCAUUAUAAUCUAUUAAAACAAUAGUUUUCAUAUCAAAAGAGCAAAAAGCUGUUACAUUAUUAUUAUUUGGGUAACAUACAUUCAGAUACCGACAUGUCUGUAAUGGACCAAUGUUGACUCAGUUCUAACAUCAUCAAUUGAACAAAUGACAAAGAACUGUAUAGAAUAUUAAUGGUUUUGCUUGUUAUGACAAAUGCGUAGAGAAUUAUCACCUGACUGUGCAGUUUCCUUUAGUUCUACAGAGCCGAUAAGCAUCUGUCAACUCAUUUUUUUUGGUUUUAUGGUCACUCUCACUUCUUUCAUUGGUAUCAUUUUCAGAGAUAUCAGGUAAUGCUGUGUUUGCAGCUUGUUGCGUUGACCUCGAAUUGCAAAAAUAAAUACCUUACUGCAGAUUUAAGUAGGUAAAAGUAGCAAUACCUUGAUAUAAAAAGACUUCAUUACAAGUUAAAGAUCUGCUUUCCAAAUGCUCCCACUUUUAAAGGGUAACUGCACCAGUUUUACAAAUUAAAGUGUGUUUACAGGUCUCGCUGAGAACCACUACAUUUAUGAAAAAUAUAGUAUAACUCUGUUUGUGGCUUGAGAUGAGGAUACAUGUAAACUGAUAAAUUGUCCUCCAAUGAUGAUACUCAGUGGUUAAGACUGAGUGGAUCGCUACAGUAAUGCAUAUGUUAUUACCUGUUGUAUACUCUGUAUUUUAAUCUUGACCUUCAAAGUAACUUGUAACUACAUCUGCUAAACAAAAUGUAGAGGGGUAAAAUGUACAAUAUUUUCCAGUGAAAUGUUGUGAAGUAGCAUUAUUAAAUAGCAGAUAGUGGAAAUAAGGUACAAUUACCUAAUAAUUGUACUCAAACAAAUGUAUGUAAUUACUUUCUCCACUGGUUCCUUGAUAAAUAAAUAAUGUUUCUUGUAGUGUAGAAAUAUGAACCAUACUUCAUGUGACUCAUGACUAAAAUAGUUCAAAGUAGCACAGAAAUAGAUUAGUCAUAAUAUAAAUUUGGAACUUGCACCAUGAACUUUAUUCAGCCGACUCAAAUGUCUCUUAAAGGGCCCACCCAAAGUUUCUCUACCCCAGAUGAACUUUGUCAAGAAUCUCUUGAUCACAUGAUGUCCAGAAACACUGGCCGAUAAUUCCAGGCUAUUCUCACCAUGAUGGAUGAGGUCGCCCUUGUGCCCCCCUGUACCGUGUCUGCAGCCGUCUCAGAGAAAAAGAAAAUGCGGCCCUUGUCCAUUCUCUUCACUUCUUUCUCAUGGAAAUGACUGCUCCGUGCACAGACAAACACACACAGCCACACACACACUGUGAGGUGGGAAUAGGUCAAGGCUGCGGUCCACAAAGGCGAAGGCUGACCAGUGAGAACUGUCUCAGCAAAGCUCUGGCCUCCUAUACAUCACUGGGAGAGACUGCUAAUGAGAAAGCCAGGGGCCCCCGGCCAAAAGCUUUUUUUUCUCCUUUUCAAGGCAAGAUGCCCAGAGCUAUUAAAAUAGCAUGCUCCAACUGAAUGGAGAAAGCAGAUGUUCCGUGCUCAGGGUUAAGAGAGGUGAGAGCAGAGCGGAAUGCCUUGAGAAACGCCUUAAGGGAUAUGUAGUUCAUUGUUGAUCACAGACUGUUAAACUGUUUUGCUUUUCAUUAAUGCCACCAAAAUAAACUGCGAUCUAUGUAAACAUGUUGUCACAGAGUUAAUUGGAAGUGCCUACUUGAAGCAUCACAUCGUUCAAACUACAGCGGCUACGCUACUUGUAGCUCAAGUCUUCUUCAUGUAGACUCACAUGAGUUAUCAAAGACGGAGAUGGAAAUCUAUGAACCACAAUGGAUGACUGAGACUUGAAAUAAUGACAGUGGUUUGACAUGAUCUCAACCAUCAAAGGCAAGAACUACUUGUGUGUUUAUGUGUGCAUGUGAGCUUUCCUCAUGCACAUCCACUCUCCCGCUCAUUGAAGCUAUUCCUCUUAGAUGCCUCUGAGAUGUUUUCUUUGACUCCACCAAUUUCCCCAAUUGCUUUCACAUUUUAGCAGACUGCAGACAGACAGAAGCGAGCCAAUGGGAAAGGUCCGUCUGACAUCCUGAUAAGAAGCAGCCCAGACACGAGCUGUAGGACUGCAGCAGAGCCUACUGCUCACUUCUUCCCCUCGCAGACAAUACUCCUCUCCUCUCCUCUCCUCUCCAUUUUUUCCCAGUGUGCUCUUCUCUCUUUUGUUUUAAUUCCAGUCCAAUCAUGAGCCGUGUUCUGCAUAAGGUUUUAAUUUCAAGCCUGCCGCCGGAGUAUACCAGACUAACACGCACACAUGCACAAAUUCACACAAGGAUGCACGUGCAUACACCAAACCACUGAUUUUUAUGCCUGCCAUACGCAAACUCACUUUACAGUCACCUCACAAAUACACAAAAACACACUGGCACGUUACGUGGCUACAUGCAUAUUUGAUGCACGAGCUCCAUGGCUACAUUUUAUCAUUUAAACAUGUUUCCCAUGAGAGAACGUAUCUCCAUCCAGAA
rnacentral:lncRNA from 1 species